AGAGUUUGAUCAUGGCUCAGGAUGAACGCUGGCGGCGUGCCUAAUACAUGCAAGUCGAGCGAAUGGAUUAAGAGCUUGCUCUUAUGAAGUUAGCGGCGGACGGGUGAGUAACACGUGGGUAACCUGCCCAUAAGACUGGGAUAACUCCGGGAAACCGGGGCUAAUACCGGAUAACAUUUUGAACUGCAUGGUUCGAAAUUGAAAGGCGGCUUCGGCUGUCACUUAUGGAUGGACCCGCGUCGCAUUAGCUAGUUGGUGAGGUAACGGCUCACCAAGGCAACGAUGCGUAGCCGACCUGAGAGGGUGAUCGGCCACACUGGGACUGAGACACGGCCCAGACUCCUACGGGAGGCAGCAGUAGGGAAUCUUCCGCAAUGGACGAAAGUCUGACGGAGCAACGCCGCGUGAGUGAUGAAGGCUUUCGGGUCGUAAAACUCUGUUGUUAGGGAAGAACAAGUGCUAGUUGAAUAAGCUGGCACCUUGACGGUACCUAACCAGAAAGCCACGGCUAACUACGUGCCAGCAGCCGCGGUAAUACGGAGGGGGCGAGCGUUGUUCGGAGUGACUGGGCGUAAAGAGCACGUAGGCGGUGAUGUAAGUCAUUAGUCAAAGGCGACAGCUCAACUGUCGUACGGCUAGUGAUACUAUGUCACUGGAGUUCCGGAGAGGAUUGCAGAAUUCCUGGUGUAGCGGUGAAAUGCGUAGAUAUCAGGAGGAAUACCUGUUGCGAAGGCGGCAAUCUGGUCGGAUACCGACGCUGAGGUGCGAAAGCGUGGGUAGCAAACAGGAUUAGAUACCCUGGUAGU
rnacentral:rRNA from 1 species